rnacentral:lncRNA from 1 species
UUCAGGUAAAAAUAAUUGUUGCAAUUCAUAAGCUUCCAAGUAAAAAAUAUAAUUACAAAAAAUAAUAUCGAGGUAAAUAUCUUAAUCGAAUUAUAAAAUAUAAAUUGCGGUACGGUACGGUAUUACCGUGGUAUUAGAAAUACAAUACCACUACCGUACCAUAUUGUAAUGGUACGGUACUAGUACCGUACCGUAAACAUUGGUAACCGUUCUUUCGGUAAUUUUUCGGUAUUUCUUGGUAGGUAUACCGUGGUACAUGGUAAUUGACAUUUUUUUUCCAGCCCUA